rnacentral:tRNA from 1 species
GCCUGGGUGGCUCAGUCGGUUGAGCAUCGGAUUUCGGCUCAGGUCACGAUCUCACAGUUGGUGGGUUCAAGCCCUGCCUGGGGCU